rnacentral:tRNA from 1 species
GCGCGCUUAGCUCAGUCGGUAGAGCGCCCCGUUUACACCGGGAAGGUCCAAGGUUCGAGUCCUUGAGCGCGCA